rnacentral:rRNA from 1 species
UAAUUGAACGCUGGCGGCAGGCCUAACACAUGCAAGUCGAGCGGUAACACAGAGAGCUUGCUCUCGGGUGACGAGCGGCGGACGGGUGAGUAAUGUCUGGGAAACUGCCUGAUGGAGGGGGAUAACUACUGGAAACGGUAGCUAAUACCGCAUAACGUCGCAAGACCAAAGUGGGGGACCUUCGGGCCUCAUGCCAUCAGAUGUGCCCAGAUGGGAUUAGCUAGUAGGUGGGGUAAUGGCUCACCUAGGCGACGAUCCCUAGCUGGUCUGAGAGGAUGACCAGCCACACUGGAACUGAGACACGGUCCAGACUCCUACGGGAGGCAGCAGUGGGGAAUAUUGCACAAUGGGCGCAAGCCUGAUGCAGCCAUGCCGCGUGUAUGAAGAAGGCCUUCGGGUUGUAAAGUACUUUCAGCGAGGAGGAAGGCAUUAAGGUUAAUAACCUUGGUGAUUGACGUUACUCGCAGAAGAAGCACCGGCUAACUCCGUGCCAGCAGCCGCGGUAAUACGGAGGGUGCAAGCGUUAAUCGGAAUUACUGGGCGUAAAGCGCACGCAGGCGGUCUGUCAAGUCGGAUGUGAAAUCCCCGGGCUCAACCUGGGAACUGCAUUCGAAACUGGCAGGCUAGAGUCUUGUAGAGGGGGGUAGAAUUCCAGGUGUAGCGGUGAAAUGCGUAGAGAUCUGGAGGAAUACCGGUGGCGAAGGCGGCCCCCUGGACAAAGACUGACGCUCAGGUGCGAAAGCGUGGGGAGCAAACAGGAUUAGAUACCCUGGUAGUCCACGCCGUAAACGAUGUCGACUUGGAGGUUGUGCCCUUGAGGCGUGGCUUCCGGAGCUAACGCGUUAAGUCGACCGCCUGGGGAGUACGGCCGCAAGGUUAAAACUCAAAUGAAUUGACGGGGGCCCGCACAAGCGGUGGAGCAUGUGGUUUAAUUCGAUGCAACGCGAAGAACCUUACCUACUCUUGACAUCCAGAGAACUUAGCAGAGAUGCUUUGGUGCCUUCGGGAACUCUGAGACAGGUGCUGCAUGGCUGUCGUCAGCUCGUGUUGUGAAAUGUUGGGUUAAGUCCCGCAACGAGCGCAACCCUUAUCCUUUGUUGCCAGCGGUCCGGCCGGGAACUCAAAGGAGACUGCCAGUGAUAAACUGGAGGAAGGUGGGGAUGACGUCAAGUCAUCAUGGCCCUUACGAGUAGGGCUACACACGUGCUACAAUGGCAUAUACAAAGAGAAGCGACCUCGCGAGAGCAAGCGGACCUCAUAAAGUAUGUCGUAGUCCGGAUUGGAGUCUGCAACUCGACUCCAUGAAGUCGGAAUCGCUAGUAAUCGUAGAUCAGAAUGCUACGGUGAAUACGUUCCCGGGCCUUGUACACACCGCCCGUCACACCAUGGGAGUGGGUUGCAAAAGAAGUAGGUAGCUUAACCUUCGGGAGGGCGCUUACCACUUUGGAUUCAGACUGGGU